rnacentral:rRNA from 1 species
UCAGAUUGAACGCUGGCGGAAUGCUUUACACAUGCAAGUCGGGCGGCAGCGCGGGGGCAACCCUGGCGGCGAGCGGCGAACGGGUGAGUAAUACAUCGGAACGUACCCAGUCGUGGGGGAUAGCCCGGCGAAAGCCGGAUUAAUACCGCAUACGCCCUGAGGGGGAAAGCGGGGGACCGGAAACGGCCUCGCGCGAUUGGAGCGGCCGAUGGCGGAUUAGCUAGUUGGUGGGGUAAAGGCCUACCAAGGCGACGAUCCGUAGCUGGUCUGAGAGGAUGAUCAGCCACACUGGAACUGAGACACGGUCCAGACUCCUACGGGAGGCAGCAGUGGGGAAUUUUGGACAAUGGGCGCAAGCCUGAUCCAGCCAUUCCGCGUGAGUGAAGAAGACCUUCGGGUUGUAAAGCUCUUUCGGCAGGA